rnacentral:rRNA from 1 species
CCCUUAGAUGUUCUGGGCCGCACGCGCGCUACACUGAACAGUUCAACAAGUCUUAACCUUGGCCGAUAGGUCUGGGUAAUCUUUGAACGCUGUUCGUGAUUGGGAUAGACCUUUGCAAUUAUGGGUCUUCAACGAGGAAUUCCUAGUAAACGCAAGACAUCAGCUUGCAUUGAUUACGUCCCUGCCCUUUGUACACACCGCCCGUCGCACCUACCGAUUGAAUGGUCCGGUGAAAUCUCGGGACGGCGGCUUGGUCGCUUGCGUCCGACUGCUGAAACUUGAUUAAACCAUAUCAUUUAGAGGAAGGUGAAGUCGUAACA